rnacentral:rRNA from 1 species
CCUACGGGAGGCAGCAGUGGGGGAUAUUGCACAAUGGGGGAAACCCUGAUGCAGCGACGCCGCGUGAGCGAAGAAGUAUUUCGGUAUGUAAAGCCCUAUCAGCAGGGAAGAAGAAAUGACGGUACCUGAGUAAGAAGCACCGGCUAACUACGUGCCAGCAGCCGCGGUAAUACGUAUGGUGCAAGCGUUAUCCGGAUUUACUGGGUGUAAAGGGAGCGCAGGCGGCACGGCAAGCCUGAUGUGAAAGCCUGCGGCCCAACCGCGGGACUGCAUUGGGAACUACUGGGCUUGAGUGCCGGAGAGGUAGGCGGAAUUCCUAGUGUAGCGGUGAAAUGCGUAGAUAUUAGGAGGAACACCAGGGGCGAAGGCGGCCUACUGGACGGUGACUGACGCUGAGGCUCGAAAGCGUGGGGAGCAAACAGGAUUAGAUACCCUGGUAGUC